UCUCUUCACUUCAUUGCGAUUUGUUGCUUAUUUAAAACGACGGAUUGUUAAAGUAAUAAAAAAAACAAAAGUUUUAAACAAAAACAAAAAUAAUUAACUAACAUUAAAAAAAUACAAUAAAAUUACACUAAAAAAGAAUUAAAGAAAUGAAAACACAAAAAGUGUUCUAAAACUGUAUAAAACUAAAGAAAGCAACGGACACGGCGGAGUGAAAUGUAAAGUUUGUAAUACUGAACACCACAUUUUUUGCAAAUUAAUUUUCGAAUAUUGCUAAAAAAAAAUACGACACCAUCAACUAUAUACAUAUAUCUUUUA